CAACUACAAUACAAAGGUCAGCUGUAUUACUGACCAUUCCGAAACUUCAAUCUUCACUUAUCCGCUCAUGUCCAGCAACCCACUGCCCAGCAAAUCAGGCUCUGGGGAUAUGGACUAGCUUCAAUUCUGGAGGCGACUUCCCCAGAUCUUAUCUCUUUGGCUUGGCUGCCCCCCAAAAGAGGUAUAUUGACCCCACCACCACCACCACCUAGCAAGUAGAAAUUCUGGAAGAUAGGAUGGAGAGGAACCCAGCAGUAAUGGGUCUCCUUUGAUGUUACCUGGAAGAUACAAGAAAGACUCUCAGGAAGGAAGCAGUGAGUGAUUAUAUAUAAGUCUAGCUAUGAUGAAACACUUUCCAAAGCAAGUAAAGCACAAAAUUAACUAAAGAAAGACAAGCAUGACAACAAAAGAAUGGAAAGCAGGAGAUCUUCCAACAAGACAGCUGAGAGGUGGUGUAUGAGCCUAGCUCCAUCUAUCAUAAUAAACUCACUAUAACAUGCUAUCUAUAGAAAAUGAAUAAUAACUAACGAUGUGCCAAGAAAGAAAUCACAGCUGAAAAUCGGAUUUCUAGGGGAAAAAAUGAGCAAAAGAAGAUUCAAUACAAUAAUGAUGCACUGAAAGAAACUGACUAGCAAAACUGAAUGAAAUUUCAAAAUAAGAAAAAAAAAAGUUUAGAUCCUCAAUUUUUCAAAUAGAUCUGAAAUCUCAUAGCAUUCCUUCUAAAUGUAAUGGGAAAGAUGUAUAGAUGGAUAGUCUCUGCCUAGUUUCAGUCAUUGAAACAUAGAUAAUUACUCUCUCUCUCUCUAACUGAUUCCAGUCCAAAUACACAGAAACUUUUGGGUGCUGGUUUCCAGUCAUAAGUGAUUCAGAAAUUGAACCCAUUUAAUGAAUUUUCUAAUUGGCAACAAAAGCAGAAGCGCCAAGUUGCUGAGUUUGAACCAAGUGUGCAUAUAAAAGGAGCAUUCCUUCUGUCUCAGAACCUUUCCUUGGUGGCUGUAAGAGGGCAACACUGUUCAGAGAUACCAGAGAGAAAGGAAGACUUCUCUUUAUCCCACCCAGCUGCUAGCUGCCCAUCAGUGCAUGGACCUUUGGUUUCCUUUACGUUUACUGUUUCAUGAUUUUAUAUGAACAAGUAUUCUGAAAAUGAGAGGACCCAAGUGACCUGGUGAAUUCAACAGUUUCAUCAGAGGUGUCUCCAGCAACUCAAGUCAAGAGGAGAGUCCACCAGAGCUGGUAGCAGUAGGCACAGGAAACCAGGUGAAUGAGCAGCAACCUUGCGAUGGACAUACUUAAGGACAUGCUCAAUGCAAGCUCUGCAAGGAUACAUUUAUAGGGUGAGAAGACUGUGGGAUUCAAUCAAUCAGUCAUAGGCAUAAGCCAGAUAUGGACAAAUCCUAGAAACCUCUAUUGACUCAAUCAAUCAAUUAAAAGCAUUUCAACUAGGUACAACAAAAGUCUUGGUUGAGGGGCUUGGUUACAAUCAGUGGACACAACAUAAAACAAGCAAGGUUCUUUGAAAUCAAGAAUUUGAGUGUCUGGGAUCUCAGUGAUGGAAGCCAUCAGUCAGUCCUUGAGAAGGAAAGGCUUACUAAUAAGGAGGAGAAAAGCCCCAACCUUGGCUAUAGUCUCCUUAUCUUGAUGCCAACCCCCACCCCAAAUCCCAAGCAGGAAGAGGACCUUGUAAACUUGAGAGAAUUAGAAGAUUUGGAACUUUCAUUAGCUUUGGAAGUCUCAGUUGAUACAAUGUUUAUAUCAGGAACAACAAACUCAACAUUGAAGAAAGAUAGCUUCAAGUAUCUCCAAGGAUCCAAAAAGAGGAACAAUACCAUGCCUAAGAGGAACUUCAUGAGUACAAUUACUCCACAAAAGGAAGGAAAAAGAUCUGGUGACUGGGACCUACAAAAUCAUCACUGCCUGAGCCUAUUUCACCUUUCUGGAUACACGAAAGAGCGUGUCAGAAACUUUGGGGGAGAACGUUUUAUACCAUGUGGUAUUAUAUCACUGCAGAAAACAUUUCUUUCUAAAGAUCAAUUAAGUCUAGUUGACCAAUUGUUAUCAAGUGAUAAUCAAUGCACAGUGGUAAGGGCUCAUGAAUUAUGAGCAAUAAAAAAAGCAACCACUACUCCCAAUCUUGCUGAGUUAUCCUCAGAACCUAGUGAGAAAAAAGUAACCAACCCAGCUCUGAGGAUACACUCUACCAAUGGAAGUAGAGGUCAGAAAACCAAUUCUAGAUUUUGACCAAGUUUCUAUUUGGGUGAAUUAAUAGAGUAUAAAGACAACAUCUCUGCAAUAAAAGACUUUUACCUCCAGUAGCAUUGAGUACCUUCUUGAAACUUAUCAAAACUUAUCAAAACAAUUUGAGUAAACUUUCAUAUGAGAAAUUAUCCAGUAAGAAUUGGCAGAGGAGAGUAAUUAGUGAAUCCCUUACUCAGUAUACUGAAGAAACUAUCCAUCAACCUGAUAACAAUAGAGAAGUCUGUUGUAUUUCCAGACCUUGUAUCCAAAACAUAACAGAGAAUCUCCCAAGGUUUGUCAAAACAACAACCACUCACCUUCUAAUGACUCCGGUAAGCAUAAAUUAUAUUAAAGGAAAACCUCAACAACAUUGUAAUGAACUCUCAGACAAGGAACUAAGGAACAGAGGGAUUUGCUGUUGCUCAUUGGAAGCAACAUUUAAAAAAGAGACAAGCAGUUUUGUAAAGUUAAAAGAUGAGAAAAUAGCAUCUGUGAAUUAGAUUUGGAUUUCUGGACCAUGUCUUAAAAUAUAGGAAUUGCACACUACUAACAAAGGCUUCAUUUACUAGUGCCUUGCAAAUCAGAUAAAAAUUAACUAAACUAAAAAGAAUGGAAGAAAAAAAAAGCUGAUGUAUCAAUAUCCAAUAACUCCAAGGAUUAUAUUUUAUAAGAUUUAUUAAUAAUCACUUGAAAUAGAAGAAAAAAGAAAUAGAUGUAAAACCUGAAUAAAACUCUCCUGCCUCUCACUCCACCUCCACAAACCAUGAUGGGGGAAGGGGGAAAAGAGAGAGAGGAGGUGGAACUACACAAAACUUAUAUCCUUUCUAUGUUAGCAUGUAAUGUGAGAAGGAACAUGGGAAGCUGUGAUUUAGAGUCCUGGGCAAAAUCUAAUUACACAUGUAUAUUCACCAAGUUAGAUGCAACACAGAGUAGCUACAACAAAAGAAAUUAAGGUACCUAAAAACUUACAAGACACAAAUCUAAGAGAGAAAUAAGAAGUAAAGCACAUGGCCUCAAAUAUCUCUACACAAUUACCUGAAGUUUAGGUCACAAACAUGAUGAACAAGAGAUACUGAGAGUCAAGUUUUGCCUCACUGAGAUAUGGUGGGAUGAACAUCCUAAUUAGAUUUGUUUCUGGGUAUAUGCACCACAUUAAAAAUGAACAAAGUAUGUAAAAAAGGAGGGGGGCCUUGUAGAUACCAAGAAUAUAUUCUUAUGAGGGAAUCCAGGUAGAAGCAAUGGAUGAAAUUCUUGGAUGAAGAUUAUUGAAGGAAGAUAUAGAAGCAAUUUUGUCAAUGGACCACAAUACAGACCAUCUAGUCUGAAAAAAAAAAGGAAAAAAGAGGAGUUUGGGGAUCAGAUCCCAAGCCUGGCACAGAAAUAAUAUGGCAGUGCCAGUACACUUCAAUUAUCCAGAAAAAUGGAUAAUCUUAUAGAACUGUCUCUCUACCAAAGGCAGUCUCUCAGUUUGCUGAAAUGAUGAUUUAAUCCUCAAAAGUAGAAGAAUCAACAAAUUCAAAUUCUAUUUUGUAUUUGAUUUUUCCUAACAAAGACAUUGAUUGCUGGAGUGGAAAUUAUAGCAGCCUGGGGGAGGAAACACUAUACCUCAUAAAGUUUGUGAUAGAAGAGUGCAAAGCUAGGAUCUUAGAUCCAAGAAGGGCAGGGAGUUGAGAAGAAGAAUUUGUCUUUUAGAGAUUCAAGAGCUAAUCAGUGUUUUCUGUCCUUUUCCCACCAUUUAGUAGUAAGUGCUCUCUAAAUGGAUAUUAUUUGAUAAGUUUGCCAGAAUACCAGAGAAAGGAAAGUGAGUACUCACAGUAAAUCGAGGUAUCCAAGUGAGUUUUAGUGAAGGCAUUUUUAAAGAUAUCUGAGACUCUAAGGCUGGAAACACAGACAUUACAAUUCUUUCAAAUGUUUCUAGGAAAAGUGCUUCUAGAAUGAAUUUCACACCAUUUUUACCACAGAGCACCAGUCCUCAGAUCAGUAUGAAAAAUACAGCAACACAAAAAUGUCUUCUAAGGUAUCUCCAUCACACACACA